rnacentral:rRNA from 1 species
GAUCCUGGCUCAGGAUGAACGCUGGCGGCGUGCCUAACACAUCCAAGUCGAGCGAUUCUCUUCGGAGAAGAGCGGCGGACGGGUGAGUAACGCGUGGGUAACCUGCCCUAUACACACGGAUAACAUACCGAAAGGUAUGCUAAUACGAGAUAACAUAAGAGAUUCGCAUGGAUUUCUUAUCAAAGCUUUUGCGGUAUAGGAUGGACCCGCGUCUGAUUAGCUAGUUGGUAAGGUAACGGCUUACCAAGG